rnacentral:rRNA from 1 species
ACGAAGGGAGCUAGCGUUGUUCGGAAUUACUGGGCGUAAAGGGCGCGUAGGCGGUUCGACAAGUCAGAUGUGAAAGCCCUGGGCUUAACCCGGGAACUGCGUUUGAGACUGUUGUACUUGAAUUCGGGAGAGGUUGGUGGAAUUCCCAGUGUAGAGGUGAAAUUCGUAGAGAUUGGGAAGAACACCCGUGGCGAAGGCGGCCAACUGGACCGACAUUGACGCUGAGGCGCGAAAGCGUGGGGAGCAAACAG